UACAAUUGCAUUAUACUUAAACGCAAAUAAUUUUCUUCGAUACUUUAGUUGAUUUUUUACUAAUUUAUUCUAAUUAAUAUUGUAUAACCUUGCAGCUCCAGAGUAUAAAUUUAUUAGGACGUCUCAAAACAGGACCCCUCUUAUGAUAGAUGGAUACACUUUUCUCAAUAUAAGUAGAGAACAUACACACGGUCGAGCUAAAUACCAUGUGUCUGAAGGUGGUGUAUAUCACAAGCUUGCAAAUUAAAAAUUAAACCGUCCGAUUCGCGCACCCAGGGUGCCGAACAAACACUCUCUUUAAUUAUGUUAUUUAUGUUUUUAACAAUUUAUCCUAUAUCUGUGCUAUAAGACGUUGCUUUUUACCAAAUUCCAAGACUGUUCACGGGUUCAGAUCUUAUAAGAGUUCCGUUUUUUGAUUUUGAGGUUCGGAAUUCUAAAAAUAGGUAUAACUAUUGCACAGUUUUCUGCAAAUACAUUAAUUCAUCAAUCGUUUAACUGUUAACUAUAUUUUGAGAAUGAAGAACAAUUUGUGUUCGUAAACUUUAAAAAUAAUAAAAAAAAACAUCAAUUUUUGUUUUAUUCAUCAUCAUUCUUCUGCUUACUUUAUAAUAUUUCUGUUUACUAUCUAUUGUACUGCUAAAUAGUAUCGUAUUGUAAUUUGUAAUAAAAAUAUUAUAAUAAUAAAAUUAAUUCUA